rnacentral:rRNA from 1 species
CUAUGUGUUGUUGGGUAGGGGAGCGUUCUGUAAGCCUGUGAAGGUGUGUCGUGAGGCAUGCUGGAGGUAUCAGAAGUGCGAAUGCUGACAUAAGUAACGAUAAAGCGGGUGAAAAGCCCGCUCGCCGGAAGACCAAGGGUUCCUGUCCAACGUUAAUCGGGGCAGGGUGAGUCGACCCCUAAGGCGAGGCCGAAAGGCGUAGUCGAUGGGAAACGGGUUAAUAUUCCCGUACUUGGUGUUACUGCGAAGGGGGGACGGAGAAGGCUAUGUUGGCCGGGCGACGGUUGUCCCGGUUUAAGCGUGUAGGUGUGUGUUCCAGGUAAAUCCGGUUCACUUUAACACUGAGGCGUGACGACGAGGCACUACGGUGCUGAAGCAACAAAUGCCCUGCUUCCAGGAAAAGCCUCUAAGCAUCAGGUAACAUCAAAUCGUACCCCAAACCGACACAGGUGGUCAGGUAGAGAAUACCAAGGCGCUUGAGAGAACUCGGGUGAAGGAACUAGGCAAAAUGGUGCCGUAACUUCGGGAGAAGGCACGCUGACACGUAGGUGAAGUGAUUUACUCAUGGAGCUGAAGUCAGUCGAAGAUACCAGCUGGCUGCAACUGUUUAUUAAAAACACAGCACUGUGCAAACACGAAAGUGGACGUAUACGGUGUGACGCCUGCCCGGUGCCGGAAGGUUAAUUGAUGGGGUCAGCGCAAGCGAAGCUCCUGAUCGAAGCCCCGGUAAACGGCGGCCGUAACUAUAACGGUCCUAAGGUAGCGAAAUUCCUUGUCGGGUAAGUUCCGACCUGCACGAAUGGCGUAAUGAUGGCCAGGCUGUCUCCACCCGAGACUCAGUGAAAUUGAACUCGCUGUGAAGAUGCAGUGUACCCGCGGCAAGACGGAAAGACCCCGUGAACCUUUACUAUAGCUUGACACUGAACAUUGAGCCUUGAUGUGUAGGAUAGGUGGGAGGCUUUGAAGUGUGG